CCCGCCAGUAGAGAUCAUGUGACGGGUUUUUUUUACAGGUUAUAAAAGGUAGACCCCACCCUGUGAGGAGGGGCAGUUCGUGGCUGGAUUUGCCAAGUUGAGUUCGUGCCACUGCGUGUUUGAAGUGAUGACGCAGUUUAGUUGAAGGAUGAAGUUUUUAUUUAAUGCCUAAAGUUUAAAAGGUUAAUGCCAACAGGUUCUUUAUGAUUCUGUUAGUUUGAGAAUUAAAGGAGAGUGAAGAUUCAAGGUUGGAAGUUAAAGAUCGAGGAGAAUCGCUUUCUACGGUGAAACGGGGGCGACCUUUGUUUGAUCCUUAUUUGGAAGGAUUUCGUUGACUAUCUUGGUGUUAAUCCCUAGGUUUACCUAGAAAGGAUUGAAGGUAGUGGAGAAGGAAAGGUCAGUGCCUUUAAGCCGUUCUGUUUCGUAAAUUCUUCGGGGGAAGUUCGACGUCGGGGAUCGAAGCAAGCGACGUGAAAGAGAACUUAAAUCGUCCUGUAAAGUCUCUCCUUUUAAAUGGACUGUGAGCAUAUCGAACUUUUGGCAAUAUCACUUUAAGAACUGUUUUGGAAUAUCACUUUAAAGAACUGUUUUGGAAUAUCACUUUACGAACUGUUUGAACAGCCGCUCAGCAGCUGUUUCCGGUUACGGAUUCUUUUGAAGACCCUGACCGGGAGUUACACACCGACUCUGGUUCUUUGCGGGAAUGGGACCCACUCUCGGGGUUUCACGACUAGCGGUUAUCCACCAUGCCAAGGGAGAUGAAGAGAGAAGGCGCUGGGGAGAACCAGUCGUAGGGUACAACCCAGUGGGAGACCCGUUUGUCGAGAUGGAUCGUCCAGAAGGUGGAGUGUGCUUUCACAUUGACUGAGGGCCCAGCUCGUGAGUGACAGAGGAGUUCAAGAUGAGCUCCAACUUGUGCACAUUUGACUGUUUAAUUAAAAUGGGCCCUUUUCUUUUGGUUUUUCUUUA